CCUACGGGAGGCAGCAGUGGGGAAUAUUGCACAAUGGGGGAAACCCUGAUGCAGCGACGCCGCGUGAAGGAAGAAGUAUUUCGGUAUGUAAACUUCUAUCAGCAGGGAAGAAAAUGACGGUACCUGACCAAGAAGCCCCGGCUAACUACGUGCCAGCAGCCGCGGUAAUACGUAGGGGGCAAGCGUUAUCCGGAUUUACUGGGUGUAAAGGGAGCGUAGGCGGCGAUGCAAGUCUGAAGUGAAAGGCCGGGGCUCAACCCCGGGACUGCUUUUGAAACUGUAAGGCUAGAGUGCAGGAGAGGCAAGUGGAAUUCCUAGUGUAGCGGUGAAAUGCGUAGAUAUUAGGAGGAACACCAGUGGCGAAGGCGGCUUGCUGGACGGUAAAUGACGCUGAGGCUCGAAAGCGUGGGGAGCAAACAGGAUUAGAUACCCGGGUAGUC
rnacentral:rRNA from 1 species